CUUGGUCAUUUAGAGGAAGUAAAAGUCGUAACAAGGUUUCCGUAGGUGAACCUGCGGAAGGAUCAUUAGUGAAUUUAGCGCAUCUGCUUUGCAGAGCGUGACCUCCACUUUCUAACUCUGUGCACUUAAUGGCGGAAGAGAUGAAAUAUGCUCUUCUGCGGCUCAUUUUAUAACACUAGUUAAAGAAUGUAACGAAAUAUCGAAACAAAAAAAAACUUUCAACAACGGAUCUCUUGGCUCUCGCAUCGAUGAAGAACGCAGCGAAAUGUGAUAAGUAAUGUGAAUUGCAGAAUUCAGUGAAUCAUCGAAUCUUUGAACGCACCUUGCGCUCCCUGGUAUUCCGGGGAGCAUGUCUGUUUGAGUGUCGUGAACUCUUCAACCCACCGGUUUCUUGUAAACUGGCUGGUGUUUGGUUUCUGAGUGUUGCUCGUCCUUGUGACUGAGCUCAUUCGUAAUAUAUGAGCAUCUCUAAUUCGAAUUCGGAUUGACUCAGUGUAAUAGACUAUUCGCUGAGGACACACCUAGUGUGGCCGAAUAAGAUAAUUGUAGAAGCUUCUAACCCUUCUAGUCAUUUUAAGAUUAGACCUCAGAUCAGAUAGGACUACCCGCUGAACUUAAGCAUAUCAAUAAGCGGAGGAAAAGAAACUAACAAGGAUUCCCCUAGUAACGGCGAGUGAAGCGGGAAGAGCUCAAAUUUGUAAUCUGGCACUUUCAGUGUCCGAGUUGUAAUCUCGAGAAGUGUUUUCCGCGCCGGACCGCAUACAAGUCUGUUGGAAUACAGCGUCAUAGUGGUGAGAACCCCGUAACUGAUGCGGAUGCCCGGUGCUUUGUGAUACACUUUCGAAGAGUCGAGUUGUUUGGGAAU
rnacentral:sRNA from 1 species